AUGGGGCCGCCGCCGCUCAAGCUCAACAUCAGCCGAGAUGGGGACAGAAUCAGCGCGCUCCACGACGACCUCCUCCUCGGGAUCCUCGAGCGUCUCGACCUGCGCGACGCGGUCCGCGCCGGCGCGCUCUCGGCGCGGUGGCGGCACCUCCCCUACCGGCUCUCGCGCCUGCACCUCAACGCCGGCCACUUCCACCGCGCCACGCUGCUCGAGGGCAUGGGCGCGUUCAAGGACGCGGCGUGCAGGCUGCUGUCCGUGUGUCCUCCUCCGGCCGCCGGCAAGAGCCCUCGUGUCAUCGAGACCCUCGCCCUCACCUUCUGCGUGUCGGCCCCUCACCUGAGCUUCAUCGGCCGCGCUGUUGAGGACGUCGUCAGCCGCGGCCACACCAAAUGCUUCCAGUUUGACAUAUGCUCCCGAUGCAAGGACGGCACUAGACGCACUACCCAGCUGCUCACAGAGUUAGGGAAGCAGUUCAUGUCAUUCUCCAGCGCCUACCCUGUCGCCUUCGGGUGGCUCACGUUUCUUACACUCGAGGACCUCGCAUUUGGGGAUUCCGAUGUCGCAGACCUCAUUCGUGGUUGUGAUAAGCUCAAGGACCUCAAGUUGAGAUCCUGCAGACUGGUUGACCGACACUCUGCGCUCAAGAUCGACACGCCGCAUGCCGGGCUUGAGAAUCUUUGGUUCAUCAGCUUUCGUUGCGCACUGAUCGAGCUUAUCUCCGUCCCUAAGCUCAGGAUAUUCUGGUGUUGGAGCCGCAAGAACCCUCCUGUGCGCUGCGGCUAUGUUCCUGAGCUUUACAAAGUAGAACUCGGUUCUCGGGCCAAGGCAUCGCAAGUGCCAUUUGCACUGAGCGAGUGCUUUUCAAGGAGUGCCACAAACCUGUCUAAACUGUAUCUCAAUUUUGGCUCUCAAAUGAUUUGGAUUAAGCCAGAACACCCGAAGGAGCUCACUUCUAUAUUCAACAACCUGACUAGUUUGGCGCUUUUUAAUAUCUUUUCUGAGUGUAACCUGAGCUGGACCUUGUUUAUCCUUGAAGUUGCACCUGCCCUGCAGAAAUUCAGAUUAUCUCGAACUCAACACCCAUGUGCCAAAGUGUCCAAGGACAAUCCCGAGAAGACUAAGAUCGUGCGGGAACCAUCCAAGGAUUUGAAGCACCUAAACCUGAAGUUAUUUAUAAUGUUUGGGUUCGAGGAUGAAGACAAGGUGACAAACUAUAUAAGGCUUGUCAUGGAACGUGCCGUGGGCUUGAAAAGAAUCGAGUUGCAUGGUAGAAGCCCAUGCAAUGGGUGCGAUGCCAUCGACCUUGAGUCCCUGAGAAGAUCCCAGGCGGAUGAAGCUAGCAGGCAUCGGAUUAAGGAGCAACUCAGACAUGGAUCUUCCUCGUCCGUGGAGAUAGUAAUCUGCUGA
rnacentral:rRNA from 1 species